rnacentral:rRNA from 1 species
UACGUAGGUGGCAAGCGUUAUCCGGAAUUAUUGGGCGUAAAGCGCGCGCAGGCGGUUUCUUAAGUCUGAUGUGAAAGCCCACGGCUCAACCGUGGAGGGUCAUUGGAAACUGGGGAACUUGAGUGCAGAAGAGAAAAGCGGAAUUCCACGUGUAGCGGUGAAAUGCGUAGAUAUCGAGAGGAACACCUGCGGCGAAGGCGGGUUGCUGGGCUGACACUGACGCUGAUGCGCGAAAGCGUGGGGAGCAAACAGG